UUUUAGGGAGCUACCAUUUGAUUUUUAUGGGGGGGCUAGGAUGAAAUUUGAAAAAAAUAGGCAGGACAGGAAUUUUGAGCAAAAAAAAAGGCAGGAUGAGACACUUGCAAAAAAAAAAAGUCAGGAUGACAAUUUAGGUAAAAAAAAAGUCAGAUAAACUAAAAAAAAAAAAAGGCAGGACCGAAUAGAGUGAAAAAUAAAAAGGCAGGACAGAGAUUACAACUAAAAAAAAUGCAGGACAAAAUUUUUCAUCCUAGCCCCCCCCCC
rnacentral:lncRNA from 1 species